GAAGACAACAGGGAUUGCCCUAGUAACGGCGAGUGAAGCGGCAACAGCUCAAAUUUGAAAUCUGGCUCUUUUAGGGUCCGAGUUGUAAUUUGCAGAGGGCGCUUUGGCGUUGGCAGCGGUCCAAGUUCUUUGGAACAGGACGUCACAGAGGGUGAGAAUCCCGUACGUGGUCGCUAGCCUUCGCCGUGUAAAGCCCCUUCGACGAGUCGAGUUGUUUGGGAAUGCAGCUCUAAAUGGGAGGUAAAUUUCUUCUAAAGCUAAAUACUGGCCAGAGACCGAUAGCGCACAAGUAGAGUGAUCGAAAGAUGAAAAGCACUUUGGAAAGAGAGUCAAAUAGCACGUGAAAUUGUUGAAAGGGAAGCGCUUGCAGCCAGACUUGCCUGUAGUUGCUUAUCCGGACUUUUGUCCGGUGCACUCUUCUGCGGGCAGGCCAGCAUCAGUUUAGGCGGUUGGAUAAAGGUCUCUAUCACGUACCUCCCUUCGGGGUAGGCCUUAUAGGGGAGACGACAUGCAACCAGCCUGAACUGAGGUCCGCGCAUCUGCUAGGAUGCUGGCGUAAUGGCUGUAAGCGGCCCGUCUUGAAACACGGACCAAGGAGUCUAACAUCUAUGCGAGUGUUUGGGUGUCAAGCCCAGACGCGUAAUGAAAGUGAACGGAGGUGGGAACCUUUUAGGUGCACCAUCGACCGAUCCUGAUGUCUUCGGAUGGAUUUGAGUAAGAGCAUGGCUGUUGGGACCCGAAAGAUGGUGAACUAUGCUUGAAUAGGGUGAAGCCAGAGGAAACUCUGGUGGAGGCUCGCAGCGGUUCUGACGUGCAAAUCGAUCGUCAAAUUUGGGCAUAGGGGCGAAAGACUAAUCGAACUAUCUAGUAGCUGGUCUGC
rnacentral:rRNA from 1 species